rnacentral:rRNA from 1 species
UACGGGGGGGGCAAGCGUUGUUCGGAAUUACUGGGCGUAAAGGGCGCGUAGGCGGUUCGCUAAGUUGGAUGUGAAAACUCUGGGCUCAACCCAGAGCCUGCAUCCAAAACUGGCGGGCUAGAGUUCUGGAGGGGGUAGCGGAAUUCCUGGUGUAGCGGUGAAAUGCGUAGAUAUCGAGAGGAACACCUGCGGCGAAGGCGGGUUGCUGGGCUGACACUGACGCUGAAGCGCGAAAGCUAGGGGAGCGAACGGG